AUUGAACGCUGGCGGCAUGCCUUACACAUGCAAGUCGAACGGCAGCGGGGGAGAAGCUUGCUUUUCCUGCCGGCGAGUGGCGAACGGGUGAGUAAUACAUCGGAACGUGCCCUGUAGUGGGGGAUAACUAGUCGAAAGGUUAGCUAAUACCGCAUACGACCUGAGGGUGAAAGUGGGGGACCGCAAGGCCUCAUGCUAUAGGAGCGGCCGAUGUCUGAUUAGCUAGGUGGUGGGGUAAAGGCCUACCAAGGCGACGAUCAGUAGCUGGUCUGAGAGGACGAUCAGCCACACUGGGACUGAGACACGGACCAGACUCCUACGGGAGGCAGCAGUGGGGAAUUUUGGACAAUGGGCGAAAGCCUGAUCCAGCAAUGCCGCGUGUGUGAAGAAGGCCUUCGGGUUGUAAAGCACUUUUGUCCGGAAAGAAAUGGCUCUGGUUAAUACCUGGGGUCGAUGACGGUACCGGAAGAAUAAGGACCGGCUAACUACGUGCCAGCCGCCGCAGUAAAAC
rnacentral:rRNA from 1 species